UCAGAUAAGUGUGAAGUGUGGUUUUAUUGUACAGUAAUAAAGCCUCCUUGUUUUUGGUCCUUGUUCUCAACGCUAACACGAUGGCUGUUGCCCUCACAGCUGCGUGACAUCGGAGCAAAGCUUGCCAGAGAUUUUUGAGCGGAAAUGAAAUCACUGAUUCCCAUCAUGCUGUAGAUCUCCAUGACACAGGAAGAAGAUCUGAUCAGCUGAGGAGACUAACAAGCAAGCGAUUUUUUUCUUCCCGGUUCUCGGCACGCGGGAGGCCGCGUGACCUUCUUUAGGUGUGUGUGUGUUCUAGUGAAGAGAGAACAGCGUGCUCUCGUCGAUCACCUCUCUUUCUCCGACGCUGUCAGGGGCUAAAGGCUGAAAAAGCUUGAACAGAACGACGGGUCUCGUGAUACACAGAAGGUUCAUUAAGGUUGAGAUUUGGCUGCAACAUUACAACGCUAACGUUCCUGCGACGGAAACGAUCGUCACUUUCCACUGUGACUUUCUCUGCUGUGUAGUGAGACGACCCACAGAUGAACGCCGCAGGAUCCUGGAACAAAACUAGUCGUCCCUGAGCAGCUGUGGGUUUAUUAGGGACUGUGGAUGUGUAAGGAUUCAACACUUUGUAUGAGGGUCUUAAAAUAAUACAGAAAGUUGUUGGUUAGAAUCGAUUUUGGUCUUGGUCUUGGUUCCUCCGAUAGAAUGGUUCUAGGUGUUGUCUUGGUUCCUCUGAUAGAAUGGUUCUAGGUGUUGUCUUGGUUCCUCUGAUAGAAUGGUUCUAGACCAUGUUUUGGUUCCUCUGAUAGAAUGGUUCUAGGUGUUGUCUUGGUUCCUCUGAUGGAAUGGUUCUAGGUGUUGUCUUGGUUCCUCUGAUAGAAUGGUUCUAGACCAUGUUUUGGUUCCUCUGAUAGAAUGGUUCUAGACCAUGUUUUGGUUCCUCUGAUAGAAUGGUUCUAGGUGUUGUCUUGGUUCCUCUGAUAGAAUGGUUCUAGACCAUGUUUUGGUUCCUCUGAUAGAAUGGUUCUAGGUGUUGUCUUGGUUCCUCUGAUAGAAUGGUUCUAGACCAUGUUUUGGUUCCUCUGAUAGAAUGGUUCUAGGUGUUGUCUUGGUUCCUCUGAUAGAAUGGUUCUAGACCAUGUUUUGGUUCCUCUGAUAGAAUGGUUCUAGGUUUUGUCUUGGUUCCUCUGAUGGAAUGGAUCCAAGAUCUUGUCUUGGUCUGUUGUUUGGAAUGAGAUGACACAUUCUCAUGGUUUCUCUGAUAGAAUAAAUCUAGAGCACGUCUCGGUUUCUGAGCCGAAACGGGUCCAGAUCUCGUUUUGGUUUAUUGGAAUGGUUUUAUAAUGUUUAAUAUCCCAGAAAGUCAGAUGUUUCUUCAUAAAUAAUGCUAUUUGAUGAUUGUUAUUGAGCUAACAAAGAAAAGAAGAGUAACGAAAUCCAGCAGCAGGAAAUUAAUUAUUCAGGAAUUUCUGCUUCCUGUCAUUUUUACGGCUGAGGGUUCUCGUCGUGAACAGACUACGGGUGCUCUGACAGGCCUCAGACCCUCAUGCCUUUGCAUUUUCUCUCAUUUCCACGCAUUCUCAGUGCCGCAAGAAAAUCCGUCUCCGACAGGAAGUGGGAGACGAGCCGCGUGGCAGAGAGACGAGCGACGGUGACAACUGAACAGAGGAAUCGACGCAAUCUCAAGGUCUUCUGCUCCAAAUCCCCCCAAAAAAAACACAUCUGUGUCCCUCACCGACACCCACUUCCUGGUCAAAGUUCACACAAAAGCAGCUUGUUAAGUUUCUGCAUUGCUAUUUGAAGGAUCGCUCCAAAGUGCUAUGUGAUGAAUACUCAUGCGUCGUCAUUAGAAACCCUUAAAGCCACGAGGCACCAGAUUUACAUUUACAUUUGCAUUUAUUCAUUCGGUGCCCGCUUUUACCCGACUCGACUUACACACGGAGCGGCAUCUGAGCUGUUAAACCGUUAAAGGAACUGGCAAAAACACAACACACCAUUUCCAGAUGGAGUGAAUGUCGAGAAGUCUGUGAACACCGUGAGUUCGUCUCGCGAUACCAGAACCAGAACAAGAAAAAAGAGGAAGAAAAAAAUGACACGCAACCAAGAUUCGAAUUUCCUUCGAGUUCUACGACACGUCCCGUAUUUGGUGCGAUACGGUCGUGAGUUUUGGCAAAAAAAAAAAAAAAGUACAUCCUCAUUCGUCCUCGUGUAGAACAACUUGUCUGGUCAUGAUAUGAAUUUUCUAGAUACUUUCAUAAUAUCAAUUGGAAAGGCUCUAGAUCUUCUCUAGGGUUUAAAUCCCAUCUGCUGUGAUCGGGUCUCACUAAUAAUUAGAGGGAUUCGGGUAAAAGAUCGACUGCCGAGUGCUUUAUAGAUGGAAAUUUGCUCAAUGCAUCACUGGUCACACACCUCCAUUAUAUAUUAAGCCAUCCUGCAUUAAAUGCUGUGUGUGUGUGUGUGUGUGUGUGUGUGUGUGUGUGUGUGUGUGUGUGUGUGUGUGUGUGCUCUGUCACCAGCUAAAUAGAUUGAACUCAUAAAGUAGGAGCCAUAACCAAUCUGACUCCGAGUGUCCAUCAUGCAGAGAAACUGCUGACUCUCAGAUUUACAAGGUAAUGCGGUGCAGCCGUGCAGUGGUGCAGCGGUGCAGCCGUGCAGCCAUGCAGCGGUGCAGCCAUGCAGCGGUGCAG